GUGGGGAAUAUUGGACAAUGGGCGCAAGCCUGAUCCAGCAAUGCCGCGUGGGUGAAGAAGGUCUUCGGAUCGUAAAGCCCUUUCGACAGGGACGAUGAUGACGGUACCUGUAGAAGAAGCCCCGGCUAUCUUCGUGCCAGCAGCCGCGGUAAUACGAAGGGGGCUAGCGUUACUCGGAAUUACUGGGCGUAAAGGGCGCGGAGGCGGCUCUGUUAGUCAGGCGUGAAAUUCCUGGGCUUAACCUGGGGACUGCGCUUGAUACUGCAGGGCUUGAGGCCGAGCGAGGGUGGUGGAAUUCCCAGUGUAGAGGUGAAAUUCGUAGAUAUUGGGAAGAACACCGGUGGCGAAGGCGACCACCUGGCUCGGUUCUGACGCUGAGGCGCGACAGCGUGGGGAGCAAACAGGAUUAGAUACCCGUGUAGUCC
rnacentral:rRNA from 1 species